rnacentral:lncRNA from 1 species
GGUACAGAGUCAGUGUGGAGGUUAUAUACAGGGGGUACCGGUACAGAGUCAGUGUGGAGGUUAUAUACAGGGGGUACCGGUACAGAGUCAGUGUGGAGGUUAUAUACAGGGGGUACCGGUACAGAGUCAGUGUGGAGGCUAUAUACAGGGGGUACAGGUACCGAGUCAGUGUGGAGGUUAUAUACAGGGGGUACAGGUACAGAGUCAGUGUGGAGGUUAUAUACAGGGGGUACCGGUACAGAGUCAGUGUGGAGGUUAUAUACAGGGGGUACCGGUACAGAGUCAGUGUGGAGGCUAUAUACAGGGGGUACCGGUACAGAGUCAAUGUGGAGGCUAUAUACAGGGGGUACCGGUACAGAGUCAAUGUGGAGGCUAUAUACAGGGGGUACCGGUACAGAGUCAAUGUGGAGGCUAUAUACAGGGGAUACCGGUACAGAGUCAAUG